CCUACGGGAGGCAGCAGUGAGGAAUAUUGGUCAAUGGACGCGAGUCUGAACCAGCCAAGUAGCGUGAAGGAUGACUGCCCUAUGGGUUGUAAACUUCUUUUAUAAAGGAAUAAAACGAGCCACGUGUGCCUUUCUGCAUGUACUUUAUGAAUAAGGAUCGGCUAACUCCGUGCCAGCAGCCGCGGUAAUACGGAGGAUCCGAGCGUUAUCCGGAUUUAUUGGGUUUAAAGGGAGCGGAGAUGGGUUGUUAAGUCAGUUGUGAAAGUUUGAGGCUCAACCGUAAAAUUGCAAUUGAUACUGGCAGUCUUGAGUGCGGGAGAGGUAGGCGGAAUUCGUGGUGUAGCGGUGAAAUGCUUAGAUAUCACGAAGAACCCCGAUUGCGAAGGCAGCAUACUGGACUGUAACUGACAUUGAUGCACGAAAGUGUGGGUAUCGAACAGGAUUAGAUACCCUUGUAGUC
rnacentral:rRNA from 1 species